UACGGAGGAUCCAAGCGUUAUCCGGAAUCAUUGGGCUUAAAGGGUCCGUAGGCGGUUUUGUAAGUCAGUGGUGAAAGCCCAUCGCUCAACGGUGGAACGGCCAUUGAUACUGCAAGACUUGAAUUAUUAGGAAGUAACUAGAAUAUGUAGUGUAGCGGUGAAAUGCUUAGAGAUUACAUGGAAUACCAAUUGCGAAGGCAGGUUACUACUAAUAUAUUGACGCUGAUGGACGAAAGCGUGGGGAGCGAACAGG
rnacentral:rRNA from 1 species